rnacentral:misc_RNA from 2 species
GUUGCCAUAGUCGUGCGGCGGUGCGGGGCGAAUCGCGGCGGGCAAGUGGGGGCGCGUGAGUUGCGAAUGGUUCGUUUGUGUUGGCGGGCUCCCUGCUUGAGCGGUGAACCGUCGACGGCCGAUCCUCUUCAAAUGGUUGAUCCAGGGGCGGGAAAGCCCUGGGCGAAGCACGGUUUCCUGUUUUGAAUGCCUUGUGAAGGCACCGCGACCCUAACGAUGCGAACAUCCGUCCGACGUCCCUCUUGGGGUGUCGGGUGGACUGACCAAGUUGGGGCCGUCGUCCACCCGCGCUGCGCCUCGGUGCGCACGCGGCAUGGGCCAUGGCCUCCAGCUGUGCUCCGGGAUGCCGAACACUUUCGGGGCAGCCGGCCGCGAGCCGGAUGCGGCUGCCCAUUCUAGCGUUAUACGCUAAGCACGAACGACUGCCGGCGCGUGUUGAUCCCCCGCUAGCUCGGUGUGGUCAUGCGCGUCGGCGUCCGCCGAGGA